UACCUCAGUAACGGCGAGUGAAGCGGUAACAGCUCAAAUUUGAAAGCUAGCUCUUUUAGGGUUCGCAUUGUAAUUUGUAGAAGAUGCUUCGGGUGUGGCCCCGGUCUAAGUUCCUUGGAACAGGACGUCAUAGAGGGUGAGAAUCCCGUAUGUGACUGGGUGCUUUCGCUCAUGUGAAGCUCUUUCGACGAGUCGAGUUGUUUGGGAAUGCAGCUCAAAAUGGGUGGUAAAUUUCAUCUAAAGCUAAAUAUUGGCCAGAGACCGAUAGCGCACAAGUAGAGUGAUCGAAAGAUGAAAAGCACUUUGGAAAGAGAGUUAAACAGUACGUGAAAUUGUUGAAAGGGAAGCGCUUGCAACCAGACUUGCGCGCUGAUGAUCAUCCGGGCUUCUGUCCGGUGCACUCGUCUGCGCUCAGGCCAGCAUCGGUUUCGGUGGUGGGAUAAAGGCCUUGGGAAUGUAGCUCCUCUCGGGGAGUGUUAUAGCCCUCGGUGCAAUGCCGCCUAUCGGGACCGAGGACCGCGCUUCGGCUAGGAUGCUGGCGUAAUGGUUGUAAGCGACCCGUCUUGAAACACGGACCAAGGAGUCUAACAUCUAUGCGAGUGUUUGGGUGUCAAACCCAUACGCGUAAUGAAAGUGAACGGAGGUGAGAACCCUUAAGGGUGCAUCAUCGACCGGUCCUGAUGUCUUCGGAUGGAUCUGAGUAAGAGCAUAGCUGUUGGGACCCGAAAGAUGGUGAACUAUGCGUGAAUAGGGUGAAGCCAGAGGAAACUCUGGUGGAGGCUCGCAGCGGUUCUGACGUGCAAAUCGAUCG
rnacentral:rRNA from 1 species